GUGCAAGUUUAUAUUAACUUUAUGAUAUCUCAGAAUGAAGAUGAAAUGACGACUCAUCAGUAACUAAUGCCAGAUCUCAGUCCUAUCAAUAAGUAUCAUUGUUUUUCAGAUGAUUAAAUAUGUCUGCAGUUUGAUUUCAUCAUAGAUCUAGCAGAGUUACAUGUGACAAUCUUUCAUCAAGUUUAUAAUGUUCCAUGAUUUAUCAUAAGCUUUCAUAGAAUGACAUGGUUGUUAUAUGUUUGGAAGAAAAAAAGUUCUGAAUUAAACUUUGUUGGUGUUGCUAUCCUUACAUCAAGCUGUUGUUGCUGUUGUCAAUGUUUUUCUAUAUCAGAAAUUCAGCAUUUAAUUGAUGACAUGGAAUGAAUCAGGAUUUAAACAGAUCUCAGUCCUAUCAUUUAAUAUCACAGUUAAUCAGACAAAAAAGAUGUCGGCUGAUUGAUUCAUCACUGAUCUGUUUACUUUCUUUUUACUGCACACAUGCAUUUCACUCAAUAUUUUUUUUUGAUGAGAGAUUUUGGUACCUUUUUUUCAAUACUCCAACUUACUUUUAUUUCUUUUUCUACAUGUCAUUACAAGAUUUUAAAGAAAAUUAUGAUAAGGCUUUUUCUGAAAU
rnacentral:lncRNA from 1 species